AUGAACACAUAUGUUUCAAAACAAUUUAUGGAAGUGAAGAAAGAAUAUUCACACAGAUCACGUUCCAGUCAUGACACCAUAGAUGAUGUCUGGAGGAUACCAGGUGCCAGAUACAGUGAUAGGAGAAGGCGGAGGACUCUACAAUCCAUCUAUUCGGAUGCCCUACUGAGAGCACCACAGCUUCCAAGCUGUAAGUCCUCCUUUCAUCAUUCAGAAAAAGCAACACACCAUGAUUAAAUCAGCUCAUCUCAUCUAAACUUGAAGCAAAAGAUACAAUUGUUCCCACAGCUGGAAAACAAGAAGGCUCUGU